rnacentral:rRNA from 1 species
AGAGUUUGAUCAUGGCUCAGAAUCAACGCUGGCGGCGUGCCUAACACAUGCAAGUCGCACGAGAAAGUGGAGCAAUCCAUGAGUAAAGUGGCGCACGGGUGAGUAACACGUGAAUAAUCUACCUCCGAGUGGGGAAUAACCUAGAGAAAUCUGGGCUAAUACCGCAUAACACUUACGAGUCAAAGCAGCAAUGCGCUUGGAGAGGAGUUCGCGGCCGAUUAGUUAGUUGGCAGGGUAAUGGCCUACCAAGACGAUGAUCGGUAUCCGGCCUGAGAGGGCGCACGGACACACUGGAACUGAAACACGGUCCAGACUCCUACGGGAGGCAGCAGUGGGGAAUUUUGCGCAAUGGGGGAAACCCUGACGCAGCAACGCCGCGUGGAGGAUGAAAUCCCUUGGGAUGUAAACUCCUUUCGAUGGGGAAGAUAAUGACGGUACCCAUAGAAGAAGCCCCGGCUAACUUCGUGCCAGCAGCCGCGGUAAUACGAGGGGGGCAAGCGUUGUUCGGAAUUAUUGGGCGUAAAGGGUGCGUAGGCGGUCUGACAAGUCUGAUGUGAAAUCUAUGGGCUCAACCCAUAGUCUGCAUCGGAAACUGUCGGGCUUGAGUAUGGGAGAGGUGAGUGGAAUUUCCGGUGUAGCGGUGAAAUGCGUAGAUAUCGGAAGGAACACCUGUGGCGAAAGCGGCUCACUGGACCAUUACUGACGCUGAGGCACGAAAGCUAGGGGAGCAAACAGGAUUAGAUACCCUGGUAGUCCUAGCCCUAAACGAUGAUCGCUUGAUGUGGCAGGUACCCAAUCCUGCCGUGUCUAAGCUAACGCGAUAAGCGAUCCGCCUGGGGAGUACGGUCGCAAGGCUGAAACUCAAAGGAAUUGACGG